rnacentral:lncRNA from 1 species
GGACCUGAAGGAUCGUCAACAGUUGCUAGCAUACAGGAGUAAGGUAGAUAAAGGAUCAGCAGAGGAGGAGAAGAUUGAUGCUCUUCUCAGCAGCUCGCAAAUUCGAUGGAAGAAUUAAGUGGCAUUGACUACCUUGAAGCCUGCCUCAUUUCCUCCUCUCCUGCCUGUGAAAGCAGAGAGAGCUCUUCUUUGGGAGAGCUGCGGCAUCACAUCGCUUGGGCCCAUUACCCAUGGGCAGUGCCAGCUACUCUUGACACAGAUAACUUCAGACUGAUCUUCUGUCCAAGGAACAUCAUCUGAGGAUCGAGAUCUAAAGCUUUGAGUCAUGAGAAUGAUUCUCUCCACCUGGUGCUCAUAUGAAGGUGGGAGUGAUUUCUAGAUUGGGCCCCUACUGGGUAAGAUCUCACUUGGUCUGAGAAAAGUGACUGCUCCAGAAAGGAAGAGGUAUGGGAGUCAUAGGGUGGCUACUGCAUUCCACUCAGCUAAUUAUGAUCCAGGACUUGGCGCUGGACAUUGGCAGUUCUGCUCUGAAUGAAGUCAGAACAGAACCAAAAUGGCCUCAGGAAGGAAUGCCAGUGUUUCCCAAGACCUCCUGGAGAUGCACUCACACCAGACUGCACAGACCCCUCCACAUUAUGCCACACAUGGCCUAGACGUUGUGUUUCCUCAGCCAUUUUCCCUCUGCUGCCCCAGUUUACUCUGUCCAAAACCCUAAGGUUCUUCUCUCACUUGAACACAGACGACCUUGCUUGGGUGAUGAGACAUCCCCUUUAUCUCUUCCUCUACUGCUGGCCAAGACCCGUCACUUUAUAAGAAGCUCAGAUGCAGCAGUGCUGGAGAGCUCUCUCUUUAUGCAAAAAUCUCAUUUCACCAGGAGCUUUCAGAAGUUUCACCUGGGCUAAAUUCAGCAGCAUUUCUGUUAGGAUAUUUAGAUGGAGGUUUUAUUUUCACACUUGGAUUCUUGCUCUGUACCAAUAUUUGCCUCCUUUUCUGUGACUGAACUGGGUUUUUCUGACAUGCCUAGACUCCUAAUAAAGGUAUUUCUUCCUUGGUGCCUUC